AGAGUUUGAUCCUGGCUCAGGAUGAACGCUAGCGGCAGGCUUAACACAUGCAAGUCGAGGGGCAGCGCGGGUAGCAAUACCUGGCGGCGACCGGCAAACGGGUGCGGAACACGUACUGAACCUACCUUGAUCUGGGGCAUAGCCCGAUGAAAAUCGGAUUAACUCCCCAUAAUAUAGAUGAGUGGCAUCACUUGACUAUUAAAAAUUUAUUGGAUCGAGAUGGCAGUGCGUCCCAUUAGCUAGUUGGUAGGGUAACGGCCUACCAAGGCGACGAUGGGUAGCUGGUGUGAGAGCACGACCAGCCACACGGGCACUGAGACACGGGCCCGACUCCUACGGGAGGCAGCAGUGAGGAAUAUUGGUCAAUGGACGCAAGUCUGAACCAGCCAUGCCGCGUGAAGGAUGAAGGCGUUCUGCGUUGUAAACUUCUUUUAUCUGGGAAGAAACCUCCGAUUUCUAUUGGAGUUGACGGUACCAGAGGAAUAAGCACCGGCUAACUCCGUGCCAGCAGCCGCGGUAAUACGGAGGGUGCAAGCGUUAUCCGGAUUUACUGGGUUUAAAGGGUGUGUAGGCGGGUCUUUAAGUCAGUGGUKAAAUCUCCGAGCUCAACUUGGAAACUGCCAUUGAUACUAUUGAUCUUGAAUUUUGUUGAGGUAGGCGGAAUAAGUCAUGUAGCGGUGAAAUGCAUAGAUAUGACUUAGAACACCAAUUGCGAAGGCAGCUUACUAAGCAAAUAUUGACGCUGAGGCACGAAAGCGUGGGGAUCAAACAGGAUUAGAUACCCUGGUAGUCCACGCCCUAAACGAUGAUUACUCGACAUACGCGAUACACAGUGUGUGUCUGAGCGAAAGCAUUAAGUAAUCCACCUGGGAAGUACGACCGCAAGGUUGAAACUCAAAGGAAUUGACGG
rnacentral:rRNA from 1 species